GACGAACCGUCCAAACGUUAUUCGGAAUCACUGGGCUUAAAGGGUGCGUAGGCGGCUUAUUAAGUCAGGGGUGAAAGACGGUGGCUCAACCAUCGCAGUGCCCUUGAUACUGAUGAGCUUGAAUACACUUGAGGUAGGCGGAAUGUGACAAGUAGCGGUGAAAUGCAUAGAUAUGUCACAGAACACCAAUUGCGAAGGCAGCUUACUAAGGUGCAAUUGACGCUGAGGCACGAAAGCGUGGGGAUCAAACAGG
rnacentral:rRNA from 1 species